rnacentral:sRNA from 1 species
AGUUUUUAAGUGUCAUUUGUGUCAAUCUCCCAAAUAAAAAUGAGAGCAAACACUAAUAUUAAAUUGAAU